UCCCGUCUGGCUCAGUUGGUAGAGCAUGGUGUUUGCAAUGCCAGGGUUGUGGGGUCGAUUCCCACGGGGGAC
rnacentral:tRNA from 1 species